AAAAGCUAAUGACUAGUACUUGGUCAAUUUUAAGUUUUUCUCCCAAUAUUUUUCUUUGAUGACUACUAUCAAAUAGUAGCAGAACACCCAAACCUCUUGGAAAAUGAAUACUGGAAAUGAAAUGAAUGUACUGGAGACUCUUGGAAACUGGAUCCUGAGGAAACCUGUCUGGAGCCUCAGCAGCUCGCCUCCUUCAUGAACCAGUCUGCUUGAGGCACGUCAGUGUGCAAGUUUAAUCAAGCAGAACAUUUCUGACCCAACUAGAUGCUAAGUACAUCAACAUAUUCUCAGCUAAAUCAUGGUUCGUAUGAGACAUAGAAAUACAGGUGUUUCAUCAUCUUCUGCAAAGGAAGCUGACUUCCAGGUGCUCUGCGACCGAAAACAGGUUUGCGCACCCUGGUUCUGACUCCAAGAAGAUGCAAUUUACGGGCAGGAAAACUUCCUGGACGAACAGAGUGAGGGAGAGCUCUCUCAGCACCUUAGAAAACCCAGCCCUGCGAGGUGUCUGCUUCUCUUCCCUGGGAGUCAGAAGAUGUCCUUUCCCUUUAAAUGUGCACCUGGAAAGUUCUCUAUCAAACCAGACUGACACAGGCAGGCCCUCCACCCUGCCAACAAGAGCAGUCACUGAGAUCCAGGAUGGCUGUUGACUAGCUGGCGGGGUUAGCACAGAUGGACUAGCUGGACCACGGACAGAAGGGGGGCACUUGCCAUGAAGGGACCACACUCCACAGGCCCAGGGGGUGGAGCCCGCGAUCUCCUGACUCCCACAGCUGCCCUCGGACCUCACCUCUCUCCCUCUGAGGCUCAGGCCACGAGCCAGAACACUGUUCCUCUUGCUGACCUCCAACAUUCGUUGCAGGCCUUGGAGCCCUGCUCACCAGCCCCCCCAGGGUCACAUUCCCUGCUGCUGUCCUGGCGAUUUCUGACAUCUACGUGCACAACUCACCCUUCAACUAUGUUUCUCAGGACAGCAUUGCUAUUUCAGGAAGGUGGGCAGGGUCUAACCGUUCUGCAGUCCCAUUUCCACUAUGUAAACUGUUACAAAUUUUAGGAGACGUGUGUGCUGAGAAGUCUUAAAAUAAAGUCAAACCACUGUGCUGGUGCAGGAAUCUUAGUACAGAUCCAGACUUUUUACUGCACUCCUACUGAAAGCGAGGUGUUACGAAGCACAUUCUCCCACUGGAUCCUAAAGGGGCUCUGAGGUGCUAUAGCUGAAAAGAUCUGGAAGAGAGUUGUUCCAGACAACUGAAAAGGAAAGAAACUGUUCUGAAAAGAGUUGUUGCCUUGGAACACAGACCUGGGUGCCGUGCUCCAAUCUGGAGUACUCCGCAAGGCCACCCGGCCCCGGAGCUUCCCUGGAGGACCAGCGGAGGCCGCUAUUGAAGCUGCAUCCCAGCCCAGCUUCUCCCUCAGCCUGCCCUCACUGCCCUUGCUUUCUUCCAGGGGCUGUUCCUCUACCACUCCCUGAUAAACCUCCUGCAGGCCGAUCCCCUUCUCAGAGUCUGUUUCCCAGGGAACCCCCCUAGGACUUACACCAUCCUUCUCGAGGGAAGUGACUCUAUCAACAGACUGAGACUUUCGUCUGCCAUAGUUGCCCAAGGACAUGGAGGUCUGUGGGCCUUUUGCAGGAUGAUCAGCUACAUCUCUGCAGCAAACGAGGAAAAUACGUCAUCACUGCAAAUUCCCUCUUAGAAGUCCCUCCAGUCUCAGGAAUCGUACUUGCUUCUCCAAUUUCUAUAAGACAUUGAGAAACUUGCACUCAGUAUGCGACUGUGGUAAGACUGGAUGUCAUCGGACGUCACAAUGGGCCCCCCGUUUUGCCACUGCUGCCUCACAUGUGAGGUGUGUAGAUACUCAAGUCGAAAGCACCACUGGCUCUGGGGCAGGCUGAGGAGUCCUACUCUCCAGCAGAGGGCUGGAAGCAAUGUACCCAGGCAUUUCUUGGCAUUGCACUGGAGGGCAACCAAACAGAGUAGGACCUCCUCUGAGUUGCCCCUGUGUCCUAAAGUCUAGCUUGGCUUAGAGAUGAGAGGCAGCCCUGGUUUGAGACCCUAAAACUAAACUCUAAAUUCUCAGGCCAAAAAAUUAAAGCCCUACUUGCUGUUUCCUGUCAACUCCUUAACUCCUACCAUUCCUAUAAGGCCAUCUCAAGGGACUUCUCCAUAAGACCUUUCUUCUGUUUAUUUUUAAAAGCUUUAUUGAGAUAUAAUUCACAUACCAUACAAUUCACUGUUUAAUAUACUUAAACCACCGAAUUUAAGUGCAAUUCAAUGGUUUUUAGUGUAUUCCCAGAGUUGUGCAACCAUAACCACGAUCAGUUUUAGAACAUUUUCAAUAACCCAAAAAGAAACCCCUCAUCUCUUAGCUGUCAUUCCCAAGCCCCCUCCGUUACCCACCUCCGGCCUCAGGUAACCACUCACCUACCUUCUCUAUACAUUUGUCUAUUCUGGGUAUUCAACAGACACUGAGUCAUACAA